rnacentral:rRNA from 1 species
CCCUUAGACGUUCUGGGCCGCACGCGCGCUACACUGACACAGGCAACGAGCUUUCCUUUACCGAAAGGUAUGGGUAAUCUUUUGAAACUGUGUCGUGCUGGGGAUAGAUCCUUGCAAUUUUUGAUCUUAAACGAGGAAUUCCUAGUAAGCGCGAGUCAUCAACUCGCGUUGAUUACGUCCCCGCCCUUUGUACACACCGCCCGUCGCUACUACCGAUUGAAUGGCUUAGUGAGGCCUCAGGAUCCGCGCUUAAUGUGUGGAGAAUUUGGACAAACUACGUCAUUUAGAGGAAGUAAAAGUCGUAACA